GCCAGUAUGGUGGUUAUGACACUCGGCAUGUAAUCGAGGGGGCUCGGGUUCGAAACCCGAAGUAGGCA